GAUGAACGCUGGCGGCGUGCCUAAUACAUGCAAGUCGAGCGAACAGACGCGGAGCUUGCUCCUCUGAUGUUAGCGGCGGACGUGUGAGUAACACGUGUAUCCCCUCCCUAUCAGUCGGGUAUAUCUUCGGGACACCGGAUCUAAUCCCGUAUAACCUGCUGCACCGCAUUGUUCAACAGUGAAAUUCGGCCUUUCUGUCUCUUCUAGCUGCUUCUCGGCCGCAUUAGCUAGUUGUUACGGUAACGGCUUUCCACGGCUACCAUGCGUAGACGACCGGAGAGGGGGAUAGGCCACACUGGAACUGAGACACGGUCAAGAGUCCUACGGGAGGCAGCAGUAGGGAAUGUUCCGCAAUGGGCGAAAGCAUGACGGAGCAACGCCGCGUGAGUGAAGAAGGUCUUCGGAUCGUAAAAAUCUGUUAUGAGGGAAGAACAAAUGUGUAAGUAAAUAUGGACGUCGUGACGGUACCGAAUCAGAAAGCAACGGCUAACUACGUG
rnacentral:rRNA from 1 species